UACGUAGGGGGCGAGCGUUGUCCGGAAUGAUUGGGCGUAAAGGGCGCGCAGGCGGCCUGUCAAGUCAGUAGUGGAAGUCCAUUUUUCAAGGAUGGAAGUGCUAUAGAAACUGAUGGGCUUGAGUGCAGGAGGGGUUAUCGGAAUUCCCGGUGUAGCGGUGAAAUGCGUAGAGAUAUGGAGGAACACCAGUGGAGAAGGCGGCUUCCUGGUCUGUAACUGACACUGAGGCGCGAAAGCGUGGGGAGCAAACAGGAUUAGAUACCCU
rnacentral:rRNA from 1 species